rnacentral:ncRNA from 1 species
AUAUUGACAGAGAAGUAGCAUAGUAGGUGCCUGCGCAAUGUUCCAGAGACUUGGUGGAAGCUGCGAACCAAGAUAUAGCAGGUAGUUGAAUUACACUAUGGAGUCAACACGGUUCAUCUCGUUAACGAUGACAAAGCAGGUUGUCUUUAUGACAGCAAUCUGGGUGGUAACGCGGAAAUUUUUUCGUCCCUUUG